UACAGAGGGUGCGAGCGUUAAUCGGAAUUAUUGGGCGUAAAGCGUGCGUAGGCGGCUUUUUAAGUCGGAUGUGAAAUCCCUGCGCUUAACUUGGGAAUUGCAUUCGAUACUGGGAAGCUAGAGUAUGGGAGAGGAGGGUAGAAUUACUGGUGUAGCGGUAAAAUGCGUAGAGAUCUGGAGGAAUACCGAUGGCGAAGGCAGCCAUCUGGCCUAAUACUGACGCUGAGGUACGAAAGCAUGGGGAGCAAACAGG
rnacentral:misc_RNA from 1 species